rnacentral:rRNA from 1 species
UGCGUAGGCGGAUUAAUAAGUCAGUGGUGAAAACCUUCAGCUUAACUGGAGGCUUGCCAUUGAUACUGUUAGUCUUGAGUACGGUCAAGGUAGGCGGAAUGUGUAAUGUAGCGGUGAAAUGCUUAGAUAUUACACAGAACACCGAUUGCGAAGGCAGCUUACUGGGCCAUUACUGACGCUGAGGCACGAAAGCGUGGGGAGCGAACAGGAUUAGAUACCCUGGUAGUCC